GACGAACGCUGGCGGCGUGCUUAACACAUGCAAGUCGAACGGAAAGGCCCUGCUUUUGUGGGGUGCUCGAGUGGCGAACGGGUGAGUAACACGUGAGUAACCUGCCCUUGACUUUGGGAUAACUUCAGGAAACUGGGGCUAAUACCGGAUAGGAGCUCCUGCUGCAUGGUGGGGGUUGGAAAGUUUCGGCGGUUGGGGAUGGACUCGCGGCUUAUCAGCUUGUUGGUGGGGUAGUGGCUUACCAAGGCUUUGACGGGUAGCCGGCCUGAGAGGGUGACCGGCCACAUUGGGACUGAGAUACGGCCCAGACUCCUACGGGAGGCAGCAGGGGGGAAUAUUGCACAAUGGGCGGAAGCCUGAUGCAGCAACGCCGCGUGCGGGAUGACGGCCUUCGGGUUGUAAACCGCUUUCAGCAGGGGCGAAGCUUGUGGUGACGGUACCUGCAGAAGAAGCACCGGCUAACUACGUG
rnacentral:rRNA from 1 species